rfam:Rhodnius prolixus Rhodnius_prolixus-3.0.3-6.9, whole genome shotgun sequence.
GUGCAGUGAUGAUUUGGAACCAAUUCUGAAUAUUUUAUAUGUAGCUAAUACAAAUCGAGCUUUUUAACACUGAGCACC